AUGGGCAAGUUCGUCUUCUUCGCGGUGUUCCUGGCGGCUCUGGUGUCCGUCUCCGCCGCCCAAGGCGUGCUCGAGCAGAGCCUCACGGACGCGCAGUGCCGGGGCGAGGUCCGGGAGAAGCCGCUCCUCGCGUGCCGGCAGAUCCUCGAGCAGCAGCUGACCGGUCGCGCCGGCGAGGGCGCCGUCGGCGUCCCGUUGUUUCAGGCGCAGUGGGGCGCCAGGGAGCGGUGCUGCCGGCAGCUCGAGAGCGUCAGCCGCGAGUGCCGCUGCGCCGCCCUCCGCGGCAUGGUGCGGGACUACGAGCAGUCCAUGCCGCCGCUGGGAGAAGGGCGCCACGGCUCGUCGGGGGAGCGUCAACAAGAGCAGGGAUGUUCCGGCGAGUCCACGGAGCCGGAGCAGCGGCAGGAGGUACAAGGGGGGCAGUAUGGCAGUGAGACAGGAGGAAGCCAGCAGCAGCAGCAGGGAGGAGGCUACCACGGGGUGACCGUCGGGCGUGGUGGCCAGCGGCAAGGACAGGUGCUCUGUCACAAGAGGCCGCAGCGGCAGCAGGGAGAAGGGUUCUCCGGCGAGGGGGCGCAGCAGAAGCCGCAGGCCGGUCGCGUGAGGUUGACGAAGGUGCGGCUGCCGACCGCGUGCCGGAUCGAGCCCCAGGAGUGUAGCGUCUUCUCCGCCGACCAGUACUACUACUAGG
rnacentral:rRNA from 1 species